GGAGAUGUAGCUCAGUAGUAGAGCACUUACCUAGCAUGUAUGAGGACCUGGGUUUCAUCCCCAGCGCCA
rnacentral:tRNA from 1 species